GACGGAGGGAGCUAGCGUUGUUCGGAAUGACUGGGCGUAAAGGGCGCGUAGGCGGUUUUUUAAGUGAGGCGUGAAAGCCCUGGGCUUAACCCAGGAGGUGCGUUUCAGACUGGAAGACUUGAGGACGAGAGAGGAAAGUGGAAUUCCUAGUGUAGAGGUGAAAUUCGUAGAUAUUAGGAAGAACACCAAGUGGCGAAGGCGACUUUCUGGCUCGUAACUGACGCUGAGGCGCGAAAGCGUGGGGAGCAAACAGGGAGUUAAGAAACCCCUUGUAACGUCGA
rnacentral:rRNA from 1 species